AAGCCGUUAAUCGGUAGUACGCCCGUUACAAGAUUGAAAGAAAAGGUUGUAUGAAGGGGUUCUUAUAGAGGAAUGAGCAGAGCAGAAGAAUGUCAGGGAUUAUGUGGAGGAAUUGUUAGAGACUACACAUGCACGGGGUAGAAUCGCGAGGGUUACGCGGAGGAAUUGUUAGGACUACACGUGCGCGGAGCAGGAUCGUACGCGCGCGUGAAUACGCGAGGUGGUUGUGUAAGUUAACUACUAACGGGUGUUAACCCGUCACACAUAUCUAUCUACCAGAUAUAAAUAGUGGUAAAUCUCCUGUUCU
rnacentral:sRNA from 1 species